AUCAAACAGAACUAAUUGACAGCUUCAUUAUCUGUAAGUGCAUCUCUUCUUUCCAUACUCCAUUAAAAAAUGUUUUUUUUUGUUUUGUUUUUUUAAAUACUACACUAUAUACUCAAUCAUGAUCUAGUUUCUCUUGUCCUAAAUGUCAUCUGGCUCUACUGCCAUCUUUCCUUACAAGAGACUCAAGACAUGAUAUUUUGUGUUUUAUUGAUUUGGUGUACUAAUAGUAAAACCAUGUUCGUGAAAAUGUAACUGAAGAUUCUUGUUCUCACCAAAGAAAAAAGUUACCUGCGCUCUUUUCACAUCCCUAUGUAUUUUUAAACAAAUGGAGGUUUUUAGUUACCUCUAAUGGCCAUGAGAGGGUAUGCCCACCUGCCACGUCAAGACAGACUUCUUAGGUGGGUCGUAACUCUAAACAUUCACCUUGCUUCCUUAAGCUUCUGGCAAAGAUAUCUCCAAUGAGACAGAAAGGGGUAUUUUUUAUAUACAUCCCUACAUGCUUAUUAACCCUUAACAGGGAACACAUGGGAUGGGAAGCAGCAUUGUAAC